AUGAAUGGCCACCUGUGGCCUUCGACCCUUCAAAACCGUGGAGGCAGAGUGUGUUUCGGCGCUCCGGCGCCGCCUUUAUGCUGUAGAGUCUGUGUCUGAAUCCAAAACAUAGUCUA
rnacentral:misc_RNA from 1 species